AACGAACGCUGGCGGCAGGCUUAACACAUGCAAGUCGAACGCCCCGCAAGGGGAGUGGCAGACGGGUGAGUAACGCGUGGGAAUCUACCUAGUUCUACGGAACAACUGAGGGAAACUUCAGCUAAUACCGUAAACGCCCUACGGGGGCAAGAUCUAGCGGAAUAAGAUGAGCCCGCGUUGGAUUAGCUAGUUGGUGGGGUAAUGGCCUACCAAGGCGACGAUCCAUAGCUGGUCUGAGAGGAUGGUCAGCCACACUGGGACUGAGACACGGCCCAGAGUCCUACGGGAGGCAGCAGUGGGGAAUAUUGGACAAUGGGCGCAAGCCUGAUACAGCCAUGCCGCGUGAGUGAUGAAGGCCUUAGGGUUGUAAAGCGCUUUCAGUGGGGAAGAUAAUGACGGUACCCACAGAAGAAGCCCCGGCUAACUUCGUGCCAGCAGCCGCAGUAAAAC
rnacentral:rRNA from 1 species